GAAAGCUCUAAGGUGGAGCAAAAAGGCAGAAAACAACUCUAACCUGAAACAGAGGAUGACGCUCCAGCCAAACGCCCGCACAAAUUUGUGGACAGUAGUGGAGAUGAGGAGCAGCCAUGUAUCAUGGAGAACAAAAUGAAAAAUUAAAGGUACAUUUGUUAUUUUACUACAAGACAGCUACAAAAAAACACUAAGUUGCCAGCCGCUGUAAUAUAACAUGUAUUCUCUAUGCAAAAGGCCCAAAUGUCCAUGGCAUGGUGGGCAACCAGAAGACCCAUAAAGGUUGGAUCUUUUUUUAAAUGUUUGUCAGACUGUACUAGUAUAAAUGCCAUAAUUUUAUCAAUUGUCACCCAUCAUAAACUGUGCAGCGAUAACCUUACCGACUCCACCACUACCAACAACAUCCCAUCGUAGGUUAUUCCAGAAUCUCAAUAAUCAACAGUAAUUAAACAUUUUAACACAGUUGUACUAUCAAUAUGCUAAUACUUUGUGCAUAAACUGCAUUACACUUUCAUUUCUCUAAAGAUUAUCCUACCACCGUCACGGGGCCUGGCGUGUUCCAGUUAAAUAAUGAUGCCAUACACCCAGGAGUUAUUUCUGGAGUGGUGGAGGAGAACCCAUUAAGGGAUCGAGAAAACACCUGGCAGCCCGGCAAGUUCAAAUAUAAGUCUAAAAAAAAUACUAAAAGCUUUUCAAUAGCAUUGAAUGCAUAAAAUGCAUACCCAAGUUGUUCUGAUUGUGGCGGGGGGGAAAUGUAUUUGUCAUACGAAUGCUUUUAUACCCCAUUCAGCUCUACCAUCUUGG